rnacentral:rRNA from 1 species
UACGUAGGGUGCAAGCGUUGUCCGGAAUUAUUGGGCGUAAAGAGCUCGGUAGGCGGCUUGUCGCGUCGGCUGUGAAAACCUGGGGCUCAACCCCGGGCCUGCAGCCGAUACGGGCAAGCUAGAAUCGGUAGGGGAGACUGGAAUUCCUGGUGGUAGCGGUGAAAUGCGCAGAUAGUCAGGAGGAACACCGGUGGCGAAGGCGGGUCGCCUGGGCCGAAAUUGACGCUGAGGAGCGAAAGCGUGGGGAGCAAACAG